rnacentral:rRNA from 1 species
UAGUUGGUGGAGUGAUUUGUCUGGUUAAUUCCGUUAACGAACGAGACCUCGACCUGCUAAAUAGUUCGGCAAAUUCUUCGGGAUUUGUUCGUUGACUUCUUAGAGGGACUAUCGGUGGGUAGCCGAUGGAAGUUCGAGGCAAUAACAGGU